rnacentral:tRNA from 1 species
UUAUUUUGGCAGAUUAGUGCGUUAGAUUUAGAAUUUAAGAAUGUAUGUAUAUACAAAUAAUA